rnacentral:rRNA from 1 species
AGAUUGAACGCUGGCGGCGUGCCUAACACAUACAAGUCGAGCGGUAACAGGUGUAGCAAUACAUGCUGACGAGCGGCGAACGGGUGAGUAAUGCUUUGGAAUCUUCCCAGUAGUGGGGAAUAACCAGUCGAAAGAUUGGCUAAUACCGCAUACGUCUGUAAAGGGAAAGCGGGGGCUCGUAAGACCUCGCGCUAUUGGAUGAGCCAAAGUCGGAUUAGCUAGUUGGUGGGGUAAUGGCCUACCAAGGCGACAAUCCGUAGCUGGUCUGAGAGGACGACCAGCCACACCGGAACUGAGACACGGUCCGGACUCCUACGGGAGGCAGCAGUGGGGAAUAUUGGACAAUGGGGGAAACCCUGAUCCAGCGACGCCGCGUGUGUGAAGAAGGCCUGCGGGUUGUAAAGCACUUUUAGUGGGGACAAAAAGCUACGGAUUAAUACUCUGUGGUCUUGAUUUAACCCAAAGAAAAGCACCGGCUAACUCUGUGCCAGCAGCCGC